rnacentral:rRNA from 1 species
UACGGAGGGUGCAAGCGUUGUUCGGAAUCACUGGGCGUAAAGGGCGCGUAGGCGGCUUUGCAAGCGACGGGUGAAAUCCCUCGGCUUAACCGAGGAACUGCCUGUCGAACUGCUUUGCUUGAGGCCGGGAGAGGCGAGUGGAAUUCCCAGUGUAGCGGUGAAAUGCGUAGAUAUUGGGAGGAACACCAGUGGCGAAGGCGGCUCGCUGGACCGGUUCUGACGCUGAGGCGCGAAAGCGUGGGUAGCAAACAGG